UUUGUGAUAAUGAAUGUUUCAUUUCUUGAAAAAAUAGGAUAAAAUGAAAGUUUUCUUGGUUUCGUUGAACCCGAGAAGCAAAGAUAAAUUUGUGGCCGAAGGAACUUUAGUGAGUAGAGAUAAAACAUAUGUGGUUGGAGGAAACAUGCUUGGAGAGCAAUAUGUAGCAGUUUCUAUUUGUGCUGCUUCAAAACUUCGAGAUCAGAUACUGGUUAGACCAUAUGGACAAUUACAAACAGUAAGGGAUGCUAUUGGUCAUGUUAUUGCAUGGCCUCUAUCACAUGUAAGUACACUUUCAUGCAAUCAUCCUAUGUUCCAAUGUGCGUGCUUAAGGCUUUUUAUUUAUGAAGGAUUUUUGCGAUUUUUAGGUUAAAAAACCAAAAUUAACCACUCCUGCACAACCUCAAAACAAGCCACCAAACACUGGGUAGCUCAAGAUUUAGAAAAGGAGUGCAUUGCAGGAGCCAGGAGCAACUAUAGAAGAAUUAGUCUUUAGAUGGACAAGUAUUAUGUAUUAUAUAAAGAUUUUAGAUUUGUAGGAAAACUUAGUUCUAGUUUCUAUGAUCUCUUCUUAAUUAUUUGCAUAUUUUUUAUGAAGAUUUGAUUUGAUUCAGUUGUGAACCAAAAGUGUUUGUUCCUACUAAUUGAAAUUGUGCGAAUGGGAUUGUUGUGGAUACAAUUGGUGAUAUGGGUGGAUCCCUUCAUAUAAUGAUAUUUGUUGUUCAUGAA